rnacentral:rRNA from 1 species
CGAACGCUGGCGGCGUGCCUAAUACAUGCAAGUAGAACGACUGAAGGAGGAGGCUUGCUUCUCUGGAUGAGUUGCGAACGGGUGAGUAACGCGUAGGUAACCUGCCUGGUAGCGGGGGAUAACUAUUGGAAACGAUAGCUAAUACCGCAUAAGAGUAGAUGUUGCAUGACAUUUGCUUAAAAGGUGCAAUUGCAUCACUACCAGAUGGACCUGCGUUGUAUUAGCUAGUUGGUGGGGUAACGGCUCACCAAGGCGACGAUACAUAGCCGACCUGAGAGGGUGGAUCGGCCACACUGGGACUGAGACACAGCCCAGACUCCUACGGGAGGCAGCAGUAGGGAAUCUUCGGCAAUGGACGGAAGUCUGACCGAGCAACGCCGCGUGAGUGAAGAAGGUUUUCGGAUCGUAAAGCUCUGUUGUAAGAGAAGAACGAGUGUGAGAGUGGAAAGUUCACACUGUGACGGUAUCUUACCAGAAAGGGACGGCUAACUACGUG